CCUACGGGUGGCAGCAGUAAGGAAUAUUGGUCAAUGGACGCAAGUCUGAACCAGCCAUGCCGCGUGGAGGAUGAAGGUCCUCUGGAUUGUAAACUUCUUUUAUCUGGGACGAAAAAAGGGUUUUCUAACUCGUCUGACGGUACCAGAUGAAUAAGCACCGGCUAACUCCGUGCCAGCAGCCGCGGUAAUACGGAGGGUGCAAGCGUUAUCCGGAUUCACUGGGUUUAAAGGGUGCGUAGGCGGACAUUUAAGUCAGUGGUGAAAUCCUGCAGCUUAACUGCAGAACUGCCAUUGAUACUAUUUGUCUUGAAUGUCGUGGAGGUUAGCGGAAUAUGUCAUGUAGCGGUGAAAUGCUUAGAUAUGACAUAGAACACCUAUUGCGAAGGCAGCUAACUACGCGAAUAUUGACGCUGAGGCACGAAAGCGUGGGGAUCAAACAG
rnacentral:rRNA from 1 species